UACGUAGGGAGCAAGCGUUGUCCGGAAUCAUUGGGCGUAAAGGGCGCGUAGGUGGCCACUUCAAGCGUGCGGUGAAAGUCGGGGGCUCAACCCCUGAUCGGCCGUGCGAACUGGGGGGCUGGAGCACUGUAGAGGCAGGCGGAAUUCCGGGUGUAGCGGUGGAAUGCGUAGAGAUCCGGAAGAACACCGGUGGCGAAGGCGGCCUGCUGGGCAGUUUUGCUGACACUGAGGCGCGACAGCGUGGGGAGCAAACAGG
rnacentral:rRNA from 1 species